UACAGAGGGUGCGAGCGUUGUCCGGAAUCACUGGGCGUAAAGGGCGCGUAGGUGGCACGACAAGUCAGUGGUGAAAGCUCGACGCUCAACGUCGAGUCGGCCACUGAGACUGUCGAGCUGGAGCACUGUAGAGGCAGAUGGAAUUCCGGGUGUAGCGGUGGAAUGCGUAGAGAUCCGGAAGAACACCGGUGGCGAAGGCGGUCUGCUGGGCAGUUGCUGACACUGAGGCGCGACAGCGUGGGGAGCAAACAGG
rnacentral:rRNA from 1 species